AUUGAACGCUGGCGGCAUGCCUUACACAUGCAAGUCGAACGGCAGCACGGGAGCAAUCCUGGUGGCGAGUGGCGAACGGGUGAGUAAUACAUCGGAACGUGCCCAGUAGUGGGGGAUAACCCGGCGAAAGCCGGACUAAUACCGCGUACGACCUACGGGUGAAAGCAGGGGAUCGCAAGACCUUGCGCUAUUGGAGCGGCCGAUGUCAGAUUAGCUAGUUGGNGGGGUAAAAGCCCACCAAGGCGACGAUCUGUAGCUGGUCUGAGAGGACGACCAGCCACACUGGGACUGAGACACGGCCCAGACUCCUACGGGAGGCAGCAGUGGGGAAUUUUGGACAAUGGGCGCAAGCCUGAUCCAGCCAUGCCGCGUGCGGGAAGAAGGCCU
rnacentral:rRNA from 1 species